GGGGUUCUGUACUAUGGAAAACUGAUCUUGAAGACUGAGAUGCCUAUGAAAUGAGAAAGACUAAAUAGAUAACAUCCAUGGAGAAAUAGGAGGAUGGUUUUCUUCACUAUCCUCUGGCAUUCAGAGAAUUGCUUUGUAGACAUAUUGAUUGACGGCCAUCUAUCCACACAUCAGGCAUUCUAAAUGGCUCCCUUCUGGACUAUCUCAGAAGAAGAAAUAUUCAUUAGCCCUUCAAAACACAACACUGAGGACAACUCUGUCAAAGAAGAUAUUUCUACGCACAGCGAAAGUCAAAAAUUACAUUAUUCCUGGGAAACACACUCGCUUCAGCCUGCACCAACCAAAAUGACUGCUCAAAGGCCAUUCAGCCCCUUUAUCACUGUGGCUCAACUUUGAUUUUCUUCCCAGUUCAUCCAUGAUUCAGACUUCUUCUGUUUCAGGAGCUUUGCCCAUGCGUUCUGCCACCUUCUGCCAGGAAUUACACCUGUCCCAUCCCGUCGUCUCCUGAAUGUCCAGGCUCUUGCAUCUAUGAAGUAAGCCUUCCUUUUUAAUCAUGAUGGGCACGUGCACUAAGAGAAACAUGGACCUGUUUUUAACCCUUGAUGUUGAGAACACAGAGAAAAGAUAGAACAAGCCAUCAAAUCUAGCUUUCUCCUAUUUGGAAAAAAGACAGGGGUCUCCCCGUGUUGUCCAGAACGGUCUUGAACUCCUGGUCUUCAAGCAAUCUUCCUGCCUUGGUCUCUCAAAGUGCUGGGAUUACAAGUGUGAGCCACCAUACCCGGUCAUAGCGCUCUUAUAAAAUGCAUCAUCACAUUUAUUUUAUAAAUUCAGAAACAAAAGUCUGUAUAGAGAAGUUUUGAAGUUACUAGGGACCUGAAAAUCAUACUGAAGAUGUCUGCAACUAAAAACUCGAAGAGUUCCGAGGCUAGAGGGGUCAGGAGAUGAAUAAAAACGUUAGCCCCAGCUGAUCACAAUGAGGUUAAUCACAAUACUAAUUAAAAAUACUACAGAUCCUAGGACAAUGGUCAGAAGAGUGACUAUACUUUCCUGUUUGCCCUUGGAAAAUCGAGGGCUGACUUUUCUACGUGCUCAGAUAACCUAAAUUGAUAGAGAGAAAGCUAGCAGAGGAUAAGAUAAACUAGUUAACUGUAAAUAAGAUUUUGCUGUUGGAGAAUCUUCUUGUUGCUCUGGUUUUAGAUAGCGGAGGAAGCCAAAAAAUAUCUGCUUUAAGUUACCAGGAGUUGAAGUUCAUCCCUGCUGAAGUUAACAGGUUGCUUCCCUUUUUCUGGUGUAUUCUUACUUUACUGGCAAAGAGAAAAUAAAUUAAUACCUUAUUGUUAAAA
rnacentral:lncRNA from 1 species